CCUACGGGAGGCAGCAGUGAGGAAUAUUGGUCAAUGGACGAGAGUCUGAACCAGCCAAGUAGCGUGAAGGAUGACUGCCCUAUGGGUUGUAAACUUCUUUUAUAUGGGAAUAAAACGUUCCACGUGUGGGAUUUUGUAUGUACCAUAUGAAUAAGGAUCGGCUAACUCCGUGCCAGCAGCCGCGGUAAUACGGAGGAUCCGAGCGUUAUCCGGAUUUAUUGGGUUUAAAGGGAGCGUAGGUGGAUUGUUAAGUCAGUUGUGAAAGUUUGCGGCUCAACCGUAAAAUUGCAGUUGAUACUGGCAGUCUUGAGUACAGUAGAGGUGGGCGGAAUUCGUGGUGUAGCGGUGAAAUGCUUAGAUAGCACGAAGAACUCCGAUUGCGAAGGCAGUUCACUGGACUGCAACUGACACUGAGGCUCGAAAGUGUGGGUAUCAAACAGGAUUAGAUACCCUAGUAGUC
rnacentral:rRNA from 1 species